GAUAAACUAGGACAAGUGUUCCUUAAAAUUCUGGAUGUUGCACAAACUAUGUUCUUGCAGCAGCAAUUCAGGGUGAACUAAGCCCUAUGCCUGUCAGAAGUUUCAUUUUUAUCUCUUCUCCUCCUCUCAAAAACAUCCCCAGGAGCAUCAUAUCAUCUACAUUUAAAGGAGCAGCUGAUGAGACACAGAGAAACUCCAUCUACAGUAAAUAGUAAAGGCUGCUGGGAGUCUCUCUUAGAGGAGCUAGGCUGCAAAGAAGACUCUGAGACCAGACCUGCUGUUUGGAUGAAGCAGAGACCUGCUGACUAUAAGAGGUUUAGAUCAAAUGAGUCACUGAGAAAGUACACUCUCCAACCCAUUGAGUCACCUGUAGGCUGUGCAGCAUGCCAAGUCUCCCAGCUUGUAGUCUGUCACCCAGUUGGGGUGGGCUUCUGUGACACAGUUGUCAUUGAGUUAUUCUGUUCCUGUAAGUAACUCCUCACCUGUAUUCCUGUAAGUAACCCCUCACCCACAUUCCCCACUAACACCAGAAAACUCAUUGGUUCACCAAGUUGGGCUUUGGUGGUAUCCAUACUUCUAUCUGUUAUGAGCUUCCUAUCUGGGGUGAAUAUACUUGUGUGGUGAAUCUCCUCAGGAAAAGUCUUGUCACACCACAGAUGUCUAUGUUGAAAUAUAAUGAAAUAUGAAGUCUUUUGCUUUUCUAAAGUAUGGUCUGUGAAGUAAUUUUUUCCAUUUUAUUUUUAGAUAAAUGGUACAUUGUACAUGUUCUUCCAUGGGGUAAGACUAUUUCUGAACUUGAGAAUUGUUAAAAUCUCCCCUAUUUAUGUUACUUUGCAAGGAGCAUUUAUGUCCAGUACUUAUUGUCCAGGAAAAAGAGUGGAAAGGUGACUACAGAGUCAACUCUGGAAUCAGAUUCAGUGUAUCUCAAAAUCUCUCUCUACCGGUUAC